rnacentral:tRNA from 1 species
GCGGCAGUACCCAAGAGGCUGAAGGGAUCGGUCUUGAAAACCGAUAGGGCGGGAAACCGUCGCGGGGAUUCAAAUUCCUCCUGCCGCGCCA